AACGAACGCUGGCGGCGUGCUUAACACAUGCAAGUCGAACGAUGAAGCCCAGCUUGCUGGGUGGAUUGGUGGCGAACGGGUGAGUAACACGUGAGUAACCUGCCCUUAACUCUGGGAUAAGCCUGGGAAACUGGGUCUAAUACCGGAUAGGAGCGUCCACCGCAUGGUGGGUGUUGGAAAGAUUUAUCGGUUUUGGAUGGACUCGCGGCCUAUCAGCUUGUUGGUGAGGUAAUGGCUCACCAAGGCGACGACGGGUAGCCGGCCUGAGAGGGUGACCGGCCACACUGGAACUGAGACACGGCCCAGACUCCUACGGGAGGCAGCAGUGGGGAAUAUUGCACAAUGGGCGCAAGCCUGAUGCAGCGACGCCGCGUGAGGGAUGACGGCCUUCGGGUUGUAAACCUCUUUCAGUAGGGAAGAAGCGAAAGUGACGGUACCUGCAGAAGAAGCACCGGCUAACUACGUGCCAGCCGCCGCCGUAAAAC
rnacentral:rRNA from 1 species